rnacentral:rRNA from 1 species
AUUGAACGCUGGCGGCAUGCUUUACACAUGCAAGUCGAACGGUAACAGGCCGCAAGGUGCUGACGAGUGGCGAACGGGUGAGUAAUGCAUCGGAACGUGCCCAGUCGUGGGGGAUAACGCAGCGAAAGCUGCGCUAAUACCGCAUACGAUCUAUGGAUGAAAGCGGGGGACCGUAAGGCCUCGCGCGAUUGGAGCGGCCGAUGUCAGAUUAGGUAGUUGGUGGGGUAAAGGCUCACCAUGCCAACGAUCUGUAGCUGGUCUGAGAGGACGACCAGCCACACUGGGACUGAGACACGGCCAGACUCCUACGGGAGGCAGCAGUGGGGAAUUUUGGACAAUGGGCGCAAGCCUGAUCCAGCAAUGCCGCGUGCAGGAAGAAGGCCGUCGGGUUGUAAACUGCUUUUGUACGGAACGAAAAGGCUCUGGAUAAUACCUGGGGCUCAUGACGGUACCGUAAGAAUAAGCACCGGCUAACUACGUGCCAGCAGCCGCCGCCGUAA